rnacentral:rRNA from 1 species
ACACCAGUGGCGAAGGCGGCCUCCUGGGCUGUUCCUGACGCUGAAUGCGAAAGCUAGGGGAGCAAACGGGAUUAGAAACCCCGGUAGUCCUAGCCGUAAACGAUGGAUGCUGGGUGUGGUGGGUAUAGACUCCCUCCGUGCCGAAGCUAACGCGUUAAGCAUCCCGCCUGGGGAGUACGGCCGCAAGGCUAAAACUCAAACGAAUUGACGGGGGCCCGCACAAGCAGCGGAGCGUGUGGUUUAAUUCGAUGCAACACGAAGAACCUUACCUGGGCUUGACAUACAGGUAGUAGUGAAGCGAAAGUGGAACGACCCUUCGGGGAGCCUGCACAGGUGCUGCAUGGCUGUCGUCAGCUCGUGCCGUGAGGUGUCGGGUUAAGUCCCGUAACGAGCGCAACCCUUACCCUUAGUUACAAGUGUCUAAGGGGACUGCCCGGGAUAACUGGGAGGAAGGUGGGGAUGACGUCAAGUCAGCAUGGCCCUUAUGUCCAGGGCUACACACACGCUACAAUGGCCGGUACAAUGGGUCGCCAAGCCGUGAGGCGGAGCCAAUCCUCUAAAGCCGGUCCAAGUUCGAAUUGUGGGCUGCAACUCGCCCACAUGAAGCUGGAGUUGCUAGUAACCGCAGGUCAGCAAUACUGCGGUGAAUACGUUCCCGGGCCUUGUACACACCGCCCGUCACGUCAUGGAAG